AGGUAGAUGGUCUUUUUAAGGCAGAGUGGAAGUAGAAGGUGGAGGUAGAUGGUCUUUGUCAGGCAGGGUGGAGGUAGAUGGUCUUUUUCAGGCAGGGUGGAAGUAGAAGGUGGAGGUAGAUGGUCUUUGUCAGGCAGGGUGGAGGUAGAAGGUGGAGGUAGAUGGUCUUUUUCAGGCAGGGUGGAAGUAGAAGGUGGAGGUAGAUGGUCUUUGUCAGGCAGGGUGGAGGUAGAAGGUGGAGGUAGAUGGUCUUUGUCAGGCAGGGUGGAAGUAGAAGGUGGAGGUAGAUGGUCUUUGUCAGGCAGGGUGGAGGUAGAAGGUGGAGGUAGAUGGUCUUUGUCAGGCAGGGUGGCGGUAGAAGGUGGAGGUAGAUGGUCUUUGUCAGGCAGGGUGGAGGUAGAAGGUGGAGGUAGAUGGUCUUUGUCAGGCAGGGUGGAGGUAGAAGGUGGAGGUAGAUGGUCUUUGUCAGGCAGGGUGGAGGUAGAUGGUCUUUUUCAGGCAGGGUGGAGGUAGAAGGUGGAGGUAGAUGGUCUUUGUCAGGCAGGGUGGAGGUAGAAGGUGGAGGUAGAUGGUCUUUUUCAGGCAGGGUGGAGGUAGAAGGUGGAGGUAGAUGGUCUUUGUCAGUCAGGGUGGAGGUAGAUGGUGGAGGUAGAUGGUCUCUGGUUUCUCUGCAGACCGGUGUGAACUAGGUUCAUGUUUACUGCUGAGAUUUGGUUUGUUUUGUUUGUUUGGAAGGCGACGAUGAGGAGGAGGAGGAGGAAGGAACCUUCUGGAACAGGGUGGUCCCUGUCCAGACCAGGCCUGGGUCCUCCUGGUCUUGGUCACA